UUUACAUUACCAACCAGUCAUGCUCUCACAUUCAGCAGAUAUUGUGUGUUGCGCUGCGGUUCUUUGCAAAUGGAAGUUUUUAUAUAAUGUCGGAGAUGCAGAGUAAGGCAACUGUAUGCAGGACAUUCAGAAAAGUUUUCUGUGUGAUUGGCUGCAUAGAUGCACACACAUCCCCAUCACAGCUCCCUCACAUCAUGAACAGGAAGUCCAUUCACAGCAUAAAUGUGCAGGUAGGCUACAGGUAGACUGACUACUGUUUCUAAAUGUUAAAGACUGCAUCAUAGUUCAACAUCUGUCAUUCUCUGCACUGUCCAGAUCAUAUGUGAUGCUGCAUACAUCAUUUCUAUGUGGAGGCCACGUGGUCUGGGUCUGUUCAUGACUCCAGGAUUUAUGGAGAGUCUAACCUGAGCAACAGACUGCAGCAUGGAGAGUUUGAUGACCUUCUGCUGGGUGACAGGGGUUACCAUGACAACCCAGGCUGAUGACCUCAUACCCUGACCCUGAACCAGGCCCCCAACAGAACUUCAACCGGACUCACUGCAGGACCAGAGCCUGGGUGGAGAUGACCAUAGGCCUGCUGAAAGCCCGUUUCCAGAGCCUACGUCUCCUCAGGGUGACCCCUGAGAGGGCCUGUGAUAUUACUGUGGCAUGUGUUGUUCUUCAUAAUAUUACUAUUAGAGGAGAGCAACACCCUGCCCUACAAACUGAAGACCCAGAUGAUGAGCCCAUCCACCUGCAGCUAUCCAGGACAGCAGAGCAGUCAGAGACACCGUAUGCAAUAAUCACUUUAGAGUUUAAGUCACCAUCAUCACCACCACAGCAAAUAAAGACAUGAUACACAU